rnacentral:lncRNA from 1 species
AGCUAUUAUCAAAGAUGUUUAUCCGCGGAAACCAUCCAUUGUGUCAAAAUACGCUCUACCAGUGAUGUGGAAACUUCUCGAGUCUUCGAGCAGUGCAUCGACUGGCAGUGGAAAUAUGAAGGAAGCCGUUCACGGUUUGGCUAACCUACUUUAUUCUUUAAUGGGACAAUCUCUGUUUGAGCAGGCUCAAGCAAAGUCGCACAGAUUACGACAAAAGCUCAAAGAGCUAUUGGAUCAAUGACUGGAUCAAUGAUUGACAAUCUGUUUUGUGAGCAGAGAAUGUUGGAAUGGAGUCCAGGCCAGCUUCCAUAAAAGGCAGUUACACACACACAGAAAUUCCGUUCCGCCAACACGCUGAGCUUUUGCCGCGUUCGAUCUGGUCACCAUUAGCCCAGCUUCGGCCG